UGUGUAGGCGGUUUGGUAAGUCUGGUGUGAAAUCUCCCGGCUCAACUGGGAGGGUGCGCCGGAAACUGCUGGACUCGAGUGCGGGAGAGGAAAGUGGAAUUCCUGGUGUAGCGGUGAAAUGCGUAGAUAUCAGGAGGAACACCGGUGGUGUAGACGGCUUUCUGGACCGUAACUGACGCUGAGACACGAAAGCGUGGGUAGCAAACAGGAUUAGAUACCCUGGUAGUCCACGCCCUAAACGAUGCAUAUUUGGUGUGGGCAGUUCAUUCUGUCCGUGCCGGAGCUAACGCGUUAAAUAUGCCGCCUGGGGAGUACAGUCGCAAGGCUGAA
rnacentral:rRNA from 1 species